rnacentral:rRNA from 1 species
UUAAACGGCCGCGGUACCCUAACCGUGCGAAGGUAGCGCAAUCACUUGUUCUUUAAAUAAGGACUAGUAUGAACGGCAUCACGAAGAUUAUGCUGUCUCCCUUUUCCAAUCAGUGAAACUGAUCUCCCCGUGAAGAAGCGGGGAUACACUUAUAAGACGAGAAGACCCCAUGGAGCUUUAAACUCAAUAACAACUGCCUUACACAUAUCCUAAUAAUUAGGCAAGAGUGAUUAUUAGUUUUCGGUUGGGGUGACCACGGAGCAAAACAAAACCUCCAUGAUGAAAAGAACACCAUUCUUUAUUUAAGAGUUACUACUCUAAAAAUCAAUAAAUUGACAUUCCUUGAUCCAAAUUUUUUGAUCAACGAACCAAGUUACCCUGGGGAUAACAGCGCAAUCCAUUUUAAGAGCUCCUAUCGACAAAUGGGUUUACGACCUCGAUGUUGGAUCAGGGUAUCCCAGUGGUGCAGCCGCUACUAAUGGUUCGUUUGUUCAAC